rnacentral:rRNA from 1 species
UACGUAGGGGGCAAGCGUUGUCCGGAAUCAUUGGGCGUAAAGCGCGUGUAGGCGGUUCUAUAAGUCUGCUGUGAAAGUCGGAGGCUCAACCUUCGAAAGCCGGUGGAUACUGUGGAACUAGAGUGCGGAAGAGGCAAGUGGAAUUCCUGGUGUAGCGGUGAAAUGCGCAGAUAUCAGGAGGAACACCAACGGCGAAGGCAGCUUGCUGGGACGUUACUGACGCUGAGACGCGAAAGCGUGGGGAGCAAACAGG